AUGAUUGCUGAGGUUGCUUCGAGCCUUGAGGAUCUUGCUUCUGCAGCUCUUGCUUCACCUAAUGUGUCCACAGAGGAGGAAGCUUUGAACACCAUCAACGAUGUUUUAUCUGAUUUGGGUUUAUCAGAAACCCCUGCUGCUGCUGAGGAGGGGGCUCUGUCAGUCAAAGGUUGUGAUUCCGUUCAGGAUCCUUUGUGCUCUCUUCAGAUGUCAGAGACGCAGUCGCAGCCUGUUGAUGGCACUGAACCUGUCACACAACCCGAGGAUGUGCCUCUUCAGCUUCUCUUGGAGGACCAACAGAAGAGGAAGAAGCAAGAAGAUUUUGACAAGAGGAGGGCGACCCUUGAGAAAGGUUCUAAUGUUCCUGGAUCUAUUCGUGCGGCUGAGCUCACUGUUGAGGAAGACGUGCCUUGUGGUAGUGAUGGCACUGUUGUCCCUGUUAAGAAGAAAAUCAAGAAGAUUGCUGCGAGGAAGCUAGUAGUUGGUGCAGUUACUCCUCGUAAGAGCCCACGUGUUUCAAGGCCUGCACAAGUUGUUGAAGAUGAAGGCUUAGGCCUUGGUGGUAUGCCACGCCGUAGUCCUCAUGUGCUUGCCACUGCCGCGCCUACACCUUCUCCGCUUGGUGCUGGUGCAUCUGGUAAGGGGAACAAAUGCAGCGUGAAGCGCAAGGUUCCACCUGCAAAGGUCAACAAGGGUGCGAAGAAGCGUUCUCGUGUUAACCCAGAAGACAAGGAUGAUGCUGAUUUCAAUGUUGAUGAUGAGGACGACGUCGACGAUGUUGCUGCUGCUGCUAAUCAGUAUCAGCUUGUGGAGCGGCCUGAGAGGAGGAAGAGAGGAUGCAAAGCGCCCGAAGAAGGUGGCCAAGGAGGAGGUGAGGUGAAACGUUUUAACAAGACGGUUCGCUGCUCACUUGGAGAGGUGAAGACGUGUGCGAAAAUGCUACAGCUUAGGCACAAGACGAGGGUUAUCAAGGCUGGUUUUGGUUGUGUGUUUGAUCUUAAGGUUGAUUCCAACAUUUCUUGCCCUUUGAUGGGCAACAUCUACAUGAGGAUUGACCCUGCAACCAUGGUUCUGGAUAUGGGUGAGGCGAACAAGGUUCUGCAUAUUACAAGUGAUGCUAUUCACCAUCUGUUUGGAUUCCCUCAAGGUAAUCGUACCCCUCCUAGGCCUUCGAAUGAUGGGUUUGAUGAUGCUGUUAUGAGGUUGAAGGGCAAACUUGGGUACGCUAGGAGUGACGACAUCAAGACAAAGGAUCUGCGGAAUAUCCUCGCGGAUCUUGUGAAGGAUGAGACGAAGGAUGAUCUUACUCUGCAGGUGUUUUACCUGAUUGUUUUCAUGAAGGUGGUUAUCCCUGGAACGUAUCAGCAAGGUACUAGCAGAGGAAAAGCUGUCACAGGUUGUGCCAUCGCGCCGCUUCUUAUGUACCUGGACUGCCUUAUCAUUGGCAAGACGCCUAAUGGUGACUUGAGGACGCCUCGCAUCAAUUACAUGGAUCAGGCUAAGCUUCUUAAGCUCGGUGCAGCUAACUUGGUCAGGAAAGGUGAUGAUGACCCAGCCAACUGGGUGUUUGGGAGACUACCUUGGAAGACACAGGCUGAGGUUGUGUUCUUUAGGGUGAUGACCAGGAGGAAACCGGGAGUUGAGUCUGGGAACAUAACUACCUCCAAGCAAGCAUCAAGAUUGGCUUUGAAGUGGCAUUCUCCUGUCGCUCCCCUGAAAAAAUACAGUUACCCUCAUCUAUCUGAGGCCCGGAAGGUGAAACAGUAUGUGCUGAGUAAAGACGGUAUGGAGAAGUAUUCUGGGACAAGCUACUGCAUGUUUACCAUCCCUGGGAAUGUGAAUGACCUCACAGGAGAUUUCCUUUAUAGGCUUUUCGGUGAUGGGCCGCAGAUGGAAGGAGACAUAAUGGAUUAUCUCAUAACUUUGUGGAAGGAUAACCUGGAGACCUCUGAGAUAUUCUCUAAUCCUGACAGGGUUGUACUUAGUCCCUACUUCAUACAGGUUUUAUUGAUUCUCUUCAAGCCAAUUGGCACAAUGGCGCACUAUAGUGUGUAUGUGGUGAAUAGAUAUCGUGGGAGCAUUGACAUCCUUGAUUCACUUUCUUACAAUGAUAUGGAAACGUCACGAACGAGUUUCCACGGGGACUGCCAAAAUAUCAUAAAGAGAUUUGUUGGGUUGCUCGAGGAGGUGUACGUCAAGGCUGCGUAUAAGGCGAGCAAGCAGCCUAACUGGGUGACUAUUGCAAAGAGGCCGACUUUCAUCGAUGUUCCGAAGCAGAAGAGUAUUGAUUGUGGUUUCCUUGCCGUGAAGUUCAGCUCUUCGUAUGACGGCGACGAGAUUGUUGAAGAUUUUGGUGAUGUUGAAGCUGUUGCAGAUGACUGGAAGGCUGAGUUCAUGCACACUCUGAUUUUUAGCGAGAAGAAUGAAGUCAUGCAUUCAGAGCUCCCUAAAGAGAUCCAGUCCUUUGGCCCAGAUAUUGUUGAUGUUUCUUUUAUCUUUGUCGGCAUUGUACAUGAACUUCUGCACGUAUCCAAGCAGGACUUGACAUUUGAACACGUUAGGUUUUUGCUUGACAUGUACCUCUUCCUCUUCAUCGUCCUCUUCCUCUUCAUCGUCGUCUUCCUCUUCCUCUUUGUCGUCGCAUUCCACUUCCUCUUCAUCUUCGUCUUCCUCCUCUCCGUCGUUGUCUUCAUCUUCGUCUUCCUCUUCAUCUUCCACCACCUUCUUGUUGUUGGCUCUAGGUCUUGUUUUCUGUUUCUUCUCUGGAAUUUUGCUUGUCUUUUCAGCAUCUGCGCGCUUCGGGCAUGUUCUUGCAUUAUGUGGUUCAUACUCCUUGCAUAUGCUACAAAGCCUGCUGCUUGCUUUCCGUGGGUGUGGUCCCUUCUUUUGUUCCAUAACUUUGGGCUGCUGUUUCUGAGAUUUUGGUUGCUUGACCUCCUCAGCAUUGUUUCCUUCCAAGAGUGUUGGACAGGAAAAUCUUUCUUCAUCAUCAUUGCCAGGCUUGUUGUGGUACUGCACAAGGGGCAUGUGAAAUCAGUUGGUCUUGUAAGUCGUGUCGAAUGUUACGCAAUCGCCGAAGUCUUGAAAGGGUCCUCGGCAGCUUGCAUUGGACCAGAAAAUGUUUUUAAUUGUCUUGUCCUUGUCCACUUCGAUGUGCGGAAUAUCCUCGUGGAUCUUGUGAACGAUGAGACAAAGGAUGAUCUUGCUCUGCAGGUGUUUUACCUGAUUGUUUCCAUGAAGGUGGUUAUCCCUGGAACAUCUACACGAGUGUCCAGGGAGGCAGCAAUGGCUGAGAAUCUUGUGUUCGAGGAUAUGGCAGAUAUGGACUACUGCCAGUUGGUUGUUGAUGACCUUCGAAGUGCUGUUAUUAGGUAUCAGCAAGGUACUAGCAGAGGAAAAGCUGUCACAGGUUGUGCCAUCACGCCGCUUCUUAUGUACCUGGACUGCCUUAUCAUUGGCAAGACGCCUAAUGUUGACUUGAGGAUGCCUCGCAUCAAUUACAUGGAUCAGGCUAAGCUUCUUGAGCUCGCUGCGGCUGACUUGGUCAGGAAAGCCUAUGUAGACAUAGUUGGACUUCUGAGAUACAUGUUUGAUUACUGCCUUGACAUAGUUGGACUUCUGAGAUACAUGUUUGAUUACUGCCUUGACAUAGUUGGACUUCUGAGAUACAUGUUUGAUUACUGCCUUGCUAAAUAUCUUGCCGAGCUUCGUGAGAGCACUUCCCACCUCCGGGCUAGUUUUGUGCUGUUCAAGGAAAUGCAGGACGCCCGAUGCAAGCCUUUUGAAGAUGAGGUUGUUGAUGAUGGUGCUGGGGGUAGGGAGGAUGUUUUACCUGUGCUUGAAGAUGAUCAUGUGCAUGAAGCUGCCCCUGUGCAUGAUCCUUGCCCCUCUAGUGAUGUAUUAGUUGAUGAGGUUCAUGGCAGUGAAAAUAAGGAGAAUGAUGAUGUUAGUGUUGCUCUAGAGAAGGCUGCAGACAUGUCCGUCUCAGGCAUGGGGUGCUCCGACGGUGUGGUCUUGACUGAACCUCAGUCGUCCGUUGGCGCUAAGGUUUCUGAUGCUGAGCAGGGCAAGACAACUGGAGACAUUAUUUUGGAGAAAGAUCAUGUUGAGUCUGUUGUACAAACUGGUAGUAGUACUGCUUCAAGCCCGGAGAAGUAUCUUGUAGCAGAGCCAUCUAUUGAUGUUGAUGUUGUACAAACUGGUGGUAGUACUGCUGCAAGCCCGGAGAAGUCUCCUGCAGCAGAUCCAUCAGUUGAUGUUGAUGCUGCACAGGCACAACCAAAUGUUUUUAUUGUUUCAGAUUCUCUGGUUGCUAUAGCUGCUGCUGGUGUCCUUCCCGACGAAGCUGCAACGUCUACUGAAGACGACGAUGAAGAUACUGAAAGCGAUAGCUAUGGAGAGGAGCAGCUGAGAUGUGUUUAUGUUUUUGAAUAUAGCGACCUUGCUGUCGUCCGAAAGAAGGUUGAUGACUUUUAUUAUAGCAUAACUAGGCUUAGGAAUGAUCGUUCCAAGAGAUCAAUGAUUAUGUUCCAAAACAAGGAGUGUGAAGCUUCUGUUGAAGAUGUCGUAAUAUCUUUUGGUCCACACGGAAUGCUUCAGUCAAAUGUGGCUGAGUGUGCACUCUACUGUCUACGUGCAAAGUACCAGGGAUCAGACAAACUCAUCCUGCCGUAUUGGGUUUUUGACAAGAUUUUCAGAGGUCAAUUUCAUUCCCGUGUGAGGAAGUACUUCAUGGCGAGUGGUCCAGAUAGCAUGGAUGCACAAGAUUCGGUUGUUUUCCCUACUUUUGACCCUUCUGAGGUUCCUGCUUCCAUGGGUGGUGUCGGUCAUUGGGUGUCGGUAUUCCUUGACCUGAAGAAUGCAAGGUUCCAGCAUCUUGAUUCCUACUAUGGACCAAAAGAUGAAUGUGCGGUACUCCUGUUUCGGCGGAUGACCGACAACAUCAAGAGGCUUUGGAAGGAUGCCAGCAACGACAGGGAGACACCCUUCAGUCCAGUUAGCAUCAACAAUUUCCCUCUAGAUUGGAUUGAUGUCCCCCAGCAGCAAAACAAUAUCGACUGCGGAUUCUUCAUGCUUAUGAAUGUUAAUUCGUAUCAUGAUGGGGUGCUUGCAAAUUAUUCCCAUGAGAAUAUCGCUGAUAUCAGGAAGACGUGGCUGUACUCAAUCGCUUCUUCUAACCUAUUUAAGACAGACUUCCAAUCUCUGUUUGGCUACUACACAUUGGAUCCAUUGGAGUUGAACGAUUACCACUACUCAUUCCUCGGGUCACAGGAAUACCAGCCUAGGGAGGAACAGAUGAGUACAGCUCCGAUAGAAGAUGAUAGACCUCGGACCCUCAUUCCUUCCAAGAAGGCUGAUGCAGUGGAAGUAGCCGAAGCAGAAGUGAUUUCGUCCGAUGAUGAUUUUGAGAAGAUUGCUUGCCCGAAGAAUGCUAAACGUGCUGCUGGAACUAUUGCUGGUAGAGGUGGGAAGAAUGUUGUGAUGACCAGGAGGAAACCGGCAGUUGACUCUGGGAACAUAACUACCUCCAAGCGAGCAUCAAGAUUGCCUUUGAAGUGGCGUUCUCCUGUCGCUCCCCUGAAAAAAUACAGUUACCCUCAUCUAUCCGAGGCCCGGAAGGUGAAACAAUAUGUGCUGAGUAAAGACGGUAUGGAGAAGUAUUCUGGGACAAGCUACUGCAUGUUUACCAUCCCUGGGAAUGUGAAUGACCUCACACGAGAUUUCGUUUAUAGGCUUUUCGGUGAUGGGCAGCAGAUGGAAGGAGACAUAAUGGAUUAUCUCAUAACUUUGUGGAAGGAUAACCCGGAGACCUCUGAGAUAUUCUCUAAUCCUGACAGGGUUGUACUUGGUCCCUACUUCAUACAGUACUGCCUGGAGUAUGAUUUCUACGCCGCAACAGUUCCAAAGUUCGAUGCAAAAAAUCGGCUAAACUCCUCCCAAUGUUUGUUCGCAAGGAAGAAGACCUUCUUAACACAAAGCUGAUAUCGUGGGAGCAUUGACAUCCUUGAUUCACUUCCUUACAAUGAUAUGGAAAUGUCGCGAACGAGUUUCCAGAGGGACUGCCAAAAUAUCAUAAAGAGAUUUGUUGGGUUGCUCGAGGAGGUAUACGGCAAGGCUGCGUACAAGGCGAGCAAGCAGCCUAACUGGUUCAGCUCUUCGUAUGAUGGCGACGAGAUUGUUGAAGAUUUUGGUGAUGUUGAAGCUGCUGCAGAUGACUGGAAGGCUGAGUUCAUGCACACUCUGAUUUUUAGUGAGAAGAAUGAAGUCAUGCGUUCAGAGCUCCCUAAAGAGAUCCAGUCCUUCGGCCCGUGA
rnacentral:rRNA from 1 species